GAUGAACGCUAGCGGCAGGCCUAAUACAUGCAAGUCGAGGGGUAACAGGGUAGCAAUACCGCUGACGACCGGCGCACGGGUGAGUAACACGUAUGUAACCUACCUAUAACUGGGGAAUAGCCUUCCGAAAGGAAGAUUAACACCGCAUAACAUCACGAGGCGGCAUCGCUUUGUGAUCAAACCUCCGGGGGUUAUAGAUGGACAUGCGUAACAUUAGCUAGUUGGUGAGGUAACGGCCCACCAAGGCGACGAUGUUUAGGGGGUCUGAGAGGAUGAUCCCCACACUGGUACUGAGACACGGACCAGACUCCUACGGGAGGCAGCAGUAAGGAAUAUUGGACAAUGGGGGCAACCCUGAUCCAGCCAUGCCGCGUGAAGGAUGAAGGCGCUCUGCGUCGUAAACUUCUUUUACUCGAGAAAAUUGUUGGGUUUCUACCCGACUUGAUUGUACCGAGAGAAUAAGGACCGGCUAACUUCGUGCC
rnacentral:rRNA from 1 species